GUAGUCUAGCUAGCAGUUAGAGCAUUGGGUCAGUAACCAGCAGGUAGUCUAGCUAGCAGUUAGAGCAUUGGGUCAGUAACCAGCAGGUAGUCUAGCUAGCAGUUAGAGCAUUGGGUCAGUAACCAGCAGGUAGUCUAGCUAGCAGUUAGAGCAUUGGGUCAGUAACCAGCAGGUAGCCUAGCUAGCAGUUAGAGCAUUGGGUCAGUAACCAGCAGGUAGCCUAGCUAGCAGUUAGAGCAUUGGGUCAGUAACCAGCAGGUAGCCUAGCUAGCAGUUAGAGCAUUGGGUCAGUAACCAGCAGGUAGCCUAGCUAGCAGUUAGAGCAUUGGGUCAGUAACCAGCAGGUAGCCUAGCUAGCAGUUAGAGCAUUGGGUCAGUAACCAGCAGGUAGCCUAGCUAGCAGUUAGAGCAUUGGGUCAGUAACCAGCAGGUAGUCUAGCUAGCAGUUAGAGCAUUGGGUCAGUAACCAGCAGGUAGCCUAGCUAGCAGUUAGAGCAUUGGGUCAGUAACCAGCAGGUAGCCUAGCUAGCAGUUAGAGCAUUGGGUCAGUAACCAGCAGGUAGCCUAGCUAGCAGUUAGAGCAUUGGGUCAGUAACCAGCAGGUAGUCUAGCUAGCAGUUAGAGCAUUGGGUCAGUAACCAGCAGGUAGUCUAGCUAGCAGUUAGAGCAUUGGGUCAGUAACCAGCAGGUAGUCUAGCUAGCAGUUAGAGCAUUGGGUCAGUAACCAGCAGGUAGCCUAGCUAGCAGUUAGAGCAUUGGGUCAGUAACCAGCAGGUAGUCUAGCUAGCAGUUAGAGCAUUGGGUCAGUAACCAGCAGGUAGUCUAGCUAGCAGUUACAUCAUUGGGUCAGUAACCAGUAGGUAGCCUAGCUAGCAGUUAGAGCAUUGGAUCAGUAACCUAGCUAGCAGUAAGCGCAUUGGGUCAGUCGUCUAGCUAGCAGUUAGAGCAUUGGGUCAGUAGCCUAGCUAGCAGUUAGAGCAUUGGGUCAGUAACCUAGCUAGCAGUUAGAGCAUUGGGUCAGUAACCUAGCUAGCAGUUAGAGCAUUGGGUCAGUAGUCUAGCUAGCAGUUAGAGCAUUGGGUCAGUAACCUAGCUAGCAGUUAGAGCAUUGGGUCAGUAGUCUAGCUAGCAGUUAGAGCAUUGGGUCAGUAGUCUAGCUAGCAGUUAGAGCAUUGGGUCAGUAGUCUAGCUAGCAGUUAGAGCAUUGGGUCAGUAACCUAGCUAGCAGUUAGAGCAUUGGGUCAGUAACCUAGCUAGCAGUUAGAGCAUUGGGUCAGUAGCCUAGCUAGCAGUUAGAGCAUUGGGUCAGUAACCAGCAGGUAGCCUAGCUAGCAGUUAGAGCAUUGGGUCAGUAGCCCAGCUAGCAGUUAGAGCAUUGGGUCAGUAGCCCAGCUAGCAGUUAGAGCAUUGGGUCAGUAGCCUAGCUAACAGACAUAGCAUUGGGUCAGUAGUCUAGCUAGCAGUUAGAGCAUUGGGUCAGUAGUCUUGCUAGCAGUUAGAGCAUUGGGUCAGUAGUCUAGCUAGCAGUUAGAGCAUUGGGUCAGUAGCCUGGCUAGCAGUUAGAGCAUUGGGUCAGUAGCCUGGCUAGCAGUUAGAGCAUUGGGUCAGUAGCCUAGCUAGCAGUUAGAGCAUUGGAUCAGUAGCCUAGCUAGCAGUUAGAGCAUUGGGUCAGUAGCCUGGCUAACAGAUUAGACUCUUAGAUAGUUCAUUAUGGAUCUGGGAAACAUAAUGACAAGAACAAAAUAGUACAUUUAUAGGAGGGACAUGACCUGACGUGAAGAGGAGAAGAGAAGUUACUGACCUAGAACAUAUUAAAUCUCCACCCGCUACAGCCAGAAGACUGGCCUCCCCCCAGAGCCUGGUUCCUCUCUACCUGGUACAGCCAGAAGACUGGCCUCCCCCCAGAGCCUGGUUCCUCUCUACCUGGUACAGCCAGAAGACUGGCCACCCCCCAGAGCCUGGUUCCUCUCUACCUGGUACAGCCAGAAGACUGGCCACCCCCCAGAGCCUGGUUCCUCUCUACCUGGUACAGCCAGAAGACUGGC